rnacentral:lncRNA from 1 species
GAGACCCCCGGGUGGGAAAGGCCGGGUCUGAAUUAUUCUGCGGUCCCACUGGACUCGUCUUCACGACUUUUACCGACUGAAGGCUCCUUGAGGGUCUUACUCUGUCUCAGAGGUUUAGAGCAGAACUUGGCACAGGGUAGUAUAUUGCUUUAACAUUCAUUGCACAGACAAUUUUAAGGAAACGUAUGAUGAUUUCUUGGCCUGUUGACCUAGUCACAAAAUAGCAAAAAAAAAAAAUCAGGAAUCCAGCUUGCACAAGUGAUACGGCUUCUGUUUUCCAGUCAGGUGGGGGACACACCUCCCAGUUCUGAAUAUAAUCGAGUGAAGAAUGAAGAGAAACAACCAUCAGAUGCAGCUAGAGAUUCUCAUGCUAAGUGAAGUACGCUGACGUCCUAGUUGCUGGUACUUGUGAAACCUGUGUCCUAUGCAAGCUUGCAUCUGCAUCUUCCAUCUACACCCCAGCUUGCGGCAACGCGGGAUCCUUAACGCACGGAGGGAAGCCAGGGAUCGAACCUGAAUCCUCAUGGAUACUAGUUGGGUUCUUAACCCACUGAGCUGCAACAGGAACUCCAACUGCCCACUCUUUUUGGAAAGCAGAGGGAGACAGCUGUUCCUCAUUCUUUCACGCACUUUCACGUUAUCAGUAUUCAGCCAACAAUUUCCUCCUGAGAAGGAACAGAACAAGUCUGUACAGCCAUUCCUGCAAACAUAGUGAGAACGUCAGCGCGAAGACGGCGGCCGUGUUGGGUCAUGGCGCCCUCUGGUGGCCACUGUGGAAAAGAUCAGGACAUCACCGGGACCCAGCGAGAGCCUGGAGGACGGAGGUCGGAGCACAACGCAGAGGCCCCUGGUGUGAGGCGCGGGAUCUUGCCGUAGGACAGUACCUGUCUGGCAGGCUGUGGUCUGGAAGCCGGCAGAGGACAGGCCUGUGAGGGACAUUCUCUUUCCUGUCAGCCCCGCUGCUUCGAGGUGAUGCCCACGGAGCCCGCAGGGAGAGGCCUCCGCUGCUCUCCUUUCCCAUAAAAGGCAGCCCCUGGG